AUUAAUAGGGUGGUAUAUGGUGCCCUAGAGGGUUAAAAGGGAAAGUGGUGAAAUUCCACUACAGCCCCCGCUACUGUAAUUGGUGAUGAAAUCCAAAAAAGCCAUUGGGAAACCGAGAAGGCUGGAGAGUAAGAUGAUCCAUAAGUCAGGAAACCUGCCAUAUACUUUUGAGCCAU
rnacentral:ncRNA from 2 species